rnacentral:rRNA from 1 species
AGUGAACGCUGGCGGCAGGCCUAACACAUGCAAGUCGAACGGCAGCACGGCAGUAGCAAUACUGUGGGUGGCGAGUGGCGGACGGGUGAGGAAUACAUCGGGAUCUACCCUGUUGUGGGGGAUAACGUAGGGAAACUUACGCUAAUACCGCAUAAGAACUGAGGUUGAAAGCGGCGGACCGCAAGGCGUCGCGCGAUUGGAUGAACCGAUGUCCGAUUAGCUAGUUGGCGGGGUAAAGGCCCACCAAGGCGACGAUCGGUAGCUGGUCUGAGAGGACGACCAGCCACACUGGAACUGAGACACGGUCCAGACUCCUACGGGAGGCAGCAGUGGGGAAUAUUGGACAAUGGGGGGCAACCCUGAUCCAGCCAUGCCGCGUGAGUGAAGAAGGCCU